GGAUCCAACUGACCCGACCCACAUCUUUUUUUGUCAAUAAAAUAAUAUCCUAAUAUUAUAAACAAAAUACACCCGUAUAUAAAACCCUAAUGAAAAACCCUGGGGCCUAAUCAUCCCUAAAGCCCUGACGCUGGAAGCUUUCUCUUUGUUUCUCCUCCAAACCCAAAUAAUAAUUUGAGUCAAACGAUUCAAAGGGAAAUGCAAAGGUGCUUGUUGUCUUCUUCUACUAUUACUUCUGCAGCACUGCGUCUUCACCCGUUGAUGCCCAAGUUCAUGGCAGUUGAAAUCUUUUCUCUAAUACCAUCUCAACUUAAAUUUAAAAAACUUAGACCACCUUCAAGGCUCAUGCCUAGCUCUCCAAAACUUUGCCAACACUUGAAUCUUUUCACAACCCUUCACAAUGCCUCUACAUUUGCCUUGCCACCCAACCACUUAACUUGUGCACUACCUCCGAAUAGAAAUAUAAUCUCUACAUGCUCAUCUUGCAAUGGUAUCAGAUCAACCUAUUUGCUGCCUCUUUCCAAAAGGUUUUUUUCUCAAUCCCCUCAACCAGCAACUAAGACGCCUACGAGAAUAGCUACAGGUAAAGCCAAACCCAGUGAUAGUAUGAGUGUCAGAGAUGGGAGGAGUAGUGGCUUCAGAUUCAGAUGGUUUAAUAGGCAUUCAAAGAAGCCAAAGGCAGUGGCUGCUCUCAAUGGGAACAAGUGUGCACCUUUUGAAUCACCUGCUUCAACUUCACUACUUAACAAUGCUAAGCCAGACUCUACUUCAAAUUCACUGGUUAACAAUGCUAAGCCAAACUCUGCUUCAACUUCAUUGAUUACCAAUGCUAAGACAGAAUCUAAAGAUAGUCUGGAAAAGAAAAAGCAGUCAAGAAGCAAGAAAAAAAAGGAACAAAUGUCCAGCACUGUUGUUCCAAAGGAAGAACCUGUGGUGAAAGGCACUAAAACUCUUUCUCUGGUAGUGACCUCUAAUAUUAGCAAAAAUGGCCAGCAUCCCACACAGGCUGCAGAGAAAAAUUCAACUGGCAACUUGCCUACUGAAGCCCAUGAUGGUUCUGCUUCAACCAAAAAGCAGUCAAAAAAGAAAAGCAGGAGCUCAAGUAGAAAAAGGCAGCCAAUGAAAGAAGUUAAUGAGCCAGCUCAGAAACAGGUGCCACAACAUAUAUCUCAACAAGAAAAGCCACUGAAGCAGCUAUAUCCUCCCACUGGGAAGUCUGUUAUGGUGGUUGAGUCUGUCACAAAGGCGAAGGUCAUUCAGGGCUACCUUGGUGAUAUGUUUGAAGUAUUGCCUAGCUAUGGUCAUGUUAGGGACCUGGCUGCACGGUCAGGAUCUGUGCGACCUGGUGAUGACUUUAGCAUGGUAUGGGAGGUCCCCAGUGCUGCAUGGACGCAUCUUAAAAGCGUUAAGGUUGCACUAAGUGGAGCAGAAAAUCUUAUUCUCGCAUCAGACCCAGACCGUGAAGGCGAGGCUAUCUCUUGGCACAUCAUUGAGAUGUUGCAGCAGCAGGAUGCUUUAGGUGAAAAUGUUCAUGUAGCAAGAGUUGUCUUUCAUGAAAUAACUGAAGCAUCCAUCAAAGGUGCUCUGCAAGUGCCACGAGAAAUUGAUGUAAACUUGGUAAAUGCUUAUCUUGCUAGACGUGCUCUUGAUUACCUGAUUGGCUUUAACAUUUCACCACUAUUAUGGAGGAAGCUACCGGGUUGCCAGUCUGCCGGACGAGUGCAAUCAGCUGCUUUGUCUAUUAUUUGUGACAGAGAAACAGAGAUUGAUGAGUUUAAGCCAAAGGAGUAUUGGACUAUUGAGGUUCAGUUGAACUUUGAGGAACCAAAUGCUCCAGUAAAAAAUGCUUCUUUCCCUGCACGCUUAACUCAUUUUAAUUCAGAGAAGUUAGGUCAAUUCUCAAUCGUUUCAGAUACAGAAGCUAAGGAUGUUGAACAGAAGAUUAAUUUAGAAAAUUUUAAAGUGAUCAGCUCUAAAAGAAACACAAUGCGAAGAAACUCUCCUGCACCCUAUAUAACAUCAACGCUUCAGCAGGAUGCUGCAAACAAAUUAAAUUUUCCGGCAACAUAUACAAUGAAGCUUGCUCAAAAACUUUAUGAGGGGAUUCAAUUGUUAGAUGGUGAGGCAACUGGGUUGAUAACAUACACCAGAACAGAUGGGCUACAUAUUUCUGAUGAAGCUGUUAAGGACAUUCGCUCCUUGGUUUUGGAAAGAUAUGGGCCAAAUUUUACCCCACAAAGUGCACGCAAGUAUUUUAAGAAGGUCAAGAAUGCUAUGGAGGCUCAUGAAGCAAUUAGACCCACCGAUAUUCGGAGGUUACCAUCAAUGCUUGUUGGAGCACUUGAUGAAGAUUCAUUGAAGUUAUACACUCUUAUUUGGUCAAGGACAAUGGCAUGUCAAAUGGAACCUGCAACCAUAGAGCAGAUACAAAUUGAAACUGGAAAUUGUGAUGAGUCCAUCAGUUUCCGAUCUUCAUGCUCAAGAGUAGCGUUCCUUGGAUAUCAGUCUGCUUAUCAGGAUGCUGAAUCUGAAACAAUCAGAUUUAAGGAUAGUGAAGCAAAUGAUUGUGCCGAGGAUUUUGGGAUUCUUAGUUCCCUGAAGAAAGGGGAUCAAUUAUAUCUUGGUAAAGUAGAGCUCAAGCAGCAUUAUACUCAGCCUCCACCACGCUAUUCUGAAGGAUCAUUGGUUAAGAAACUGGAGGAGCUUGGGAUUGGAAGACCUUCGACAUAUGCAUCUACAUUGAAAGUUUUACAGGAUAGAAACUAUGUGACAGUAAAAAGUCGAGUAUUAUAUCCUGAAUUUCGCGGACGCAUGGUCUCAGCAUUUCUCUUGCACCAUUUUUCUGAGGUCACUGAUUACAGUUUUACUGCUGACAUGGAGACAGAGCUUGACAAUGUUUCUGCUGGCUUAACUGAAUGGAAGGGGCUCCUUAGGGACUAUUGGACUCGUUUCAGCUCAUAUUGUAGUCGUGUUGAGAGUGUUCAUAUUCAUCAGGUGGAGAAGAUGUUGGAAAAGACAUUUGGAGAUUUCUUGUUUGCUUCUCUCCCUAAUAAAAGUAGGACGUGUCCAAGUUGCAUGGAGGGCACAUUAAUUUUCAAAGUAAGUAGGUUUGGUGCCGGCUAUUUUAUAGGGUGUAACCAGCAUCCAAAGUGCAAGUAUAUUGCUAAGAAGUUAUGUGGUGAUGAGGAGGAAGAAGAGAGUCCUCAAAAGAGUGGCUCUGUCGAGGAGCCAAAACUAUUAGGUCUUCAUCCAGGUUCCAAUGAGAAGGUUUUAUUAAAGAAUGGCCCCUAUGGAUACUACGUGCAGCUUGGUGAAGACAGAAUGGGUUAUUUACCUAAGCGAUCAUCUGUUCCUCAUAGAAAGAAAGUGGACUCCAUCACCCUUGACGAUGCUCUUGAGUUGCUGCGCUACCCUCUGACAUUGGGAGAACACCCUAAGGAUGGGCACCCUGUGAUAUUGAAGCUUGCCAAGGUCGGAUUCUCUGUUCGCCAUCGACGAACCAAUGCUUCUGUUCCUAAGAGUAUGAAGCCGAAAGACAUCACCCUAGAAAAAGCAUUGGAGUUUUUGUCAAGUAAAGAUGUGAGACGAUCUGGGCGACCUACGAACAAACCAAAGGUCGAAGAAGUUAUUGAGACCCGAUAGGCUUGUAACCUCAAAGGAGCAGAUGCUUUUGGGAUGAGUAGAAGGUUUUUUGUGACUGCAUAGGUAUCUCCAGGUUGAUUUGAAAGCAAGAGGGGCGUGAAUAAUGCGGUUGGAAGCACACAACAUGUACCUAUCUGUGUUCCGCUUAUUACUAAGAGGCUCUAUUGAUAAAGAUUGCAUACACUCCUCUCGUUGAGAAGAUCGCACAGAAUAAAUAGCUGGACUGCUAUGCUACUUUCACAUGCCGGCUUAUACAAUACAGAUUGUUCAGCAUGCAAAAUUUCUGGUGCAGCUAUUUUAUUCUUCCAGAAAAAGUGAUAGAGAGUGACUCAGCUUUGUACUUCAUUUUUUGAUGAGGGAGGUACUGCUCUGCCCAAGAUGCUCGCGUUUAUUGGAAUUUUAUUUGCCAUUCAAAGUGGUUUGAAAAACC